rnacentral:rRNA from 1 species
UGGGGAAUAUUGCACAAUGGGGGAAACCCUGAUGCAGCGACGCCGCGUGAGCGAAGAAGUAUUUCGGUAUGUAAAGCUCUAUCAGCAGGGAAGAAAAUGACGGUACCUGACUAAGAAGCUCCGGCUAAAUACGUGCC